rnacentral:rRNA from 1 species
GAAGGUAGCGCAAUCACUUGUCACAAAAAUGGAGACCUGUAUGAAUGGCAUAACGAGGGCUUAACUGUCUCCUUUUUCAGGUCAAUGAAAUUGAUCUCCCCGUGCAGAAGCGGGGAUAAUAACAUAAGACGAGAAGACCCUAUGGAGCUUUAGACACCAAGCAGCCCAUGUCAAAACCACCCCCACACGGAAAUAAACUAAAUGGACCCUGCCCUAUUGUCUUUGGUUGGGGCGACCACGGGGAAACAAAAACGCCACGCGGAAGGGAGCAACCUCCUAAACAAGAGCCACAGCUCUAAUUAACAGAUUUCUGACACUAUGAUCCGGAAGGCCGAUCAACGGACCGAGUUCCCUAGGGAUAACAGCGCAAUCUCUUUUAGAGCCCAAUCGAAAGAGGGUUACAACCUCGAGG